GAUGAAGAACGUAGCGAAAUGCGAUAAGUAAUGUGAAUUGCAGAAUUCAGUGAAUCAUCGAAUCUUUGAACGCACAUUGCGCCCGCCAGUAUUCUGGCGGGCAUGCCUGUUCGAGCGUCAUUACAACCCUCAGGCCCCCGGGCCUGGCGUUGGGGAUCGGCGGAAGCCCCCUGUGGGCACACGCCGUCCCUCAAAUACAGUGGCGGUCCCGCCGCAGCUUCCAUUGCGUAGUAGCUAACACCUCGCAACUGGAGAGCGGCGCGGCCAUGCCGUAAAACACCCAACUUCUGAGUGUUGACCUCGAAUCAGGUAGGAAUACCCGCUGAACUUAAGCAUAUCAAUAAGCGGAGGA
rnacentral:misc_RNA from 1 species